UACGUAGGGUGCAAGCGUUGUCCGGAAUUAUUGGGCGUAAAGAGCUCGUAGGCGGUUUGUCGCGUCUGCCCGUGAAAAGUCCGGGGGCUCAACUCCGGGAUCUGCGGUGGGUACGGGGCAGACUAGAGUGAUGUAGGGGGAGACUGGAAUUCCUGGUGUAGCGGUGAAAAUGCGCAGAUAUCAGGAGGAACACCGAUGGCGAAGGCAGGUCUCUGGGCAUUAACUGACGCUGAGGAGCGAAAAGCAUGGGGGAGCGAACAGG
rnacentral:rRNA from 1 species